rnacentral:tRNA from 1 species
GUCAAGAUGGCCGAGGGGUCUAAGGCUCUGUGUUCAGGUUGCGGUCUCCUCUGGAUGUGUGGGUUCAAACCCCACUCCUGACA